rnacentral:rRNA from 1 species
CCAGAAUAAAAGUAGUUUAGUUUUCAUAACUCAAAGAAUUUGGCGGCUAAUUUUAAUUCAGGGGCAACCUGUAUUUUAAUUGAUAAACCACGAUAGUUUAUACUUCUUAUAUAUUUAUAUAUCUCUAUGAAUGAAUGUUUUAUUAGAAUGAUUUUCUUUUAGUUUAAUCUAAAAUAUUAGGUCAAGGUGUAGUUCUUAAGAUAGUUUAUAUGGGUUACUUUAGUUUAAAUUUUAAUAAUUAUUAAGAGUAACAAUUUUUAUUGUUUUAGUAUUUGAUAGUAAGUUUAAUUAAUUAAUUAAUUUGAAUUUU